rnacentral:rRNA from 1 species
AGUGAACGCUGGCGGUAGGCCUAACACAUGCAAGUCGAACGGCAGCACAGGAGAGCUUGCUCUCUGGGUGGCGAGUGGCGGACGGGUGAGGAAUACAUCGGAAUCUACUCUGUCGUGGGGGAUAACGUAGGGAAACUUACGCUAAUACCGCAUACGACCUACGGGUGAAAGCAGGGGACCUUCGGGCCUUGCGCGAUUGAAUGAGCCGAUGUCGGAUUAGCUAGUUGGCGGGGUAAAGGCCCACCAAGGCGACGAUCCGUAGCUGGUCUGAGAGGAUGAUCAGCCACACUGGAACUGAGACACGGUCCAGACUCCUACGGGAGGCAGCAGUGGGGAAUAUUGGACAAUGGGCGCAAGCCUGAUCCAGCCAUACCGCGUGGGUGAAGAAGGCCUUCGGGUUGUAAAGCCCUUUUGUUGGGAAAGAAAUCCAGCUGGCUAAUACCCGGUUGGGAUGACGGUACCCAAAGAAUAAGCACCGGCUAACUUCGUGCCAGCCGCCGCCGUAAGAC